rnacentral:rRNA from 1 species
AACAAACGCUGGCGGCGUGCCCAAUACAUGCAAGUCGAACGGGGUAGCAAUACCUAGUGGCGCACGGGUGAGUAACGCGUGGAUAAUCUGCCUUGGAGUGGGGGAUAACUAGUCGAAAGAUUAGCUAAUACCGCAUAAGACCACAGGAGCUGCGGCUCUAGGGGUCAAAGGUUUUUCGUUCCAAGAUGAGUCCGCGUAAGAUUAGCUAGUUGGUGAGGUAAUGGCUCACCAAGGCGACGAUCUUUAACUGGUCUGAGAGGAUGAUCAGUCACACUGGAACUGAGACACGGUCCAGACUCCUACGGGAGGCAGCAGUAGGGAAUAUUGCACAAUGGAGGAAACUCUGAUGCAGCGACGCCGCGUGAGUGAUGAAGGCCUUCGGGUCGUAAAGCUCUGUCGCAGGGGAAUAACACAAUGAAUGUACCCUGUAAGAAAGGAUCGGCUAACUUCGUGCCAGCAGCCGCCGUAAAAC